UUGUGUUCCCACAUCAUUUCCCUGCCCAGUGACGAUAUUUAUAACAUAUUAGAAAGCAUAUUAUGACAAUGCCACAAGACAAAUAAACUAUGACAGGACAUAAGGUUUAUAUAAUAAUAGUAUUUUCUAUGGUACCAUGAUUGUGCACAUAUACAUAGCAUCAGUUUUAAAACUUGGUAAUAAUAUAAUAAUCUAUCACCAAAAUAAGAGCAGAAAGAGGGCUUGCCAUGCCUACAGAUUCAGAUACAUAUGACAGAUGUCAUAUUUUCCAACAAAGCCAAGUGACCAUUCUUGUUAGUCCCCAUUGAACUGAAACCUGUUGCCAAAAGUUAAAGAUAGACCCUACAAAAUGAUGUAACCGAUAAAGUUCAUCUUGGGAACCAAAUCUCAAAUUUUUGUCAUAUCCUUAUUGGUUUGUAUUUAAUUCACAUGAAUAAAUUUUGAGGUGCCUUCCAACCAUGUUUACAAUUUGGAACAAAUCAACCCAGCCAGAAAGCCACAGUAAUUAAAAAAAGGAGAAAAUAGAGCAACUUACGAACCCAAUUCCUAUCCAGAUGUCUUCACAGUUUAAUUAGUAUCUGAAAUAUCAAGGAGCUAUGCUAAAAAGAAAACAUGACAACUCAAGAAAAAUGGAGAAGUCAAGGAAGUGAAGCACAUGACAAUAAGGUGUUGAGAUUGUGGUUCGUAUUCAGAGAAAUGUUGUAUGCUAAACAGUGUUGUUAAAGGCGAGAGGAGGCGCUGGGCGAGGGGAGAGGCGAGGCGAAGCUCCAGCGACUCCCCAGGCCAAGGCGAGGCCACUUAAACAAGGCGGACGCCCUGGACCCGAAAGGCGACAGGUGACAAGGCCUUGAGGUGCCGCCUUGUGAAAGAAACGGAAAUUUUGUUUUUUUUUUCUUAACAGUCAAAAAAUAAAAAGAAGCCCCAAUCUAUCGUGACUUACGUUCAGUCCACCUACCCAGCAGUUUGAAGAAG
rnacentral:misc_RNA from 1 species